CAUCCGUGGCCGUCCAUCUUUGGUGUUAAUGCUUUCUGGGACAGUUGUUUGCCACUCUGGGACCCCUUAUGUGACAGCUCCAUUUGAACCAGCAUGAAACGUCCCUCCCCGGCUGCAUUCUAGAACCUGGAACCUCCCAAGAGACUGGAUCAUCAUCUGACAAUAAAGAGAAAUUCCAACCUGAAGGAUUUUGACCACUGAGGAAAGAACUUCCUGAAAGUUCUCUUUCAGGAAGAAUGAUGGGAUGUCCCUGGGGCCAAGAAUCAAAAGUUGUGUUCUUGGCCUCAACCCUGUCUGGCUGCCAUGCUCCUUGUCAGUAGCAUGGAAUUUACCUCAGCGCGAUCUUGUAAGGAUUAUAGGAGGGGGAAAGGCUUUCUAGAGGAGAGAAAGCCUCCUCUCCUUAUAAUCUUGAAUGGACAGCUGAAGGAUACUGUACAGUUUUAGGAACUUUUCCCAUAAAACCACAUUGACUUUCAGAAAAUUAGCUCUCCUGUCACUAGCUAGUGGGAACCUCAGUUCACAAACUCACUGGGGUGUAAGAAAUGCUAUGUUUUUAAUUUCCCCUAAAUCCAAUUCUGAAUCUCUGUUAGUUUCCUAGGCCUGACGUAAUGAAGUACCUCAAGCUGAGUGGCUUAUACAAGAGGAAUGUCUCACAGUU